GAGAAGUAAAAUCAAACGGAGUCCAAUUGACCUGAAACUUCAUGGAACUUAUUUUUAGACCAGAAGCAACCCAGAAGACUUGGGGUGUAUGUAAGGGAAGCAACGAGGAAGGCACGAGGUAGGGGGCGCGCCCACCCCCUGGGCGCACCCUGCACCCUCGUGGGCUCCUCUUGGCCCCCUGACGUAUUUCUUCCUCCUAUAUAUAUCCAUAUACCCUAAAAACUUCGAGGAGCACAAUAGAUCGGGAGUUCCGCCGCCAGAAGCCUCCAUAGCCACUGAAAGCCAAUCUAGACCCGUUCUGGCACCCUGCCGGAGGGGUAUCCCUCUCCGUUGGCCAUCUUCAUCAUCCCGGUGCUCUCCAUGACGAAGAGGGAGUAGUUCUCCCUCGGGGCUGAGGGUAUGUACCAGUAGCUAUGUGUUUGAUCUCUCUCUCUCUCAUGCUCUUGAGUUGGUACAAUCUUGAUGUAUCACGAGCUUUGCUAUUAUAGUUGGAUUGAGUUUUCCCUUUGAAGUUAUCUUAUCGGAUUGAGUCUUUAAGGAUUUGAGAACACUUGAUGUAUGUCUUGCGUGGGAUACCUGUGGUGACAAUGGGGUAUUCUAUUGAUCCACUUGAUGUAUGUUUUGGUGAUCAACUUGCGGGUUCCGCCCAUGAACCUAUGCAUAGGGGUUGGCACACGUUUUCGUCUUGACUCUCCGGUAGGAACUUUGGGGCACUCUUUGAAGUUCUUUGUGUUGGUUGAAUGGAUGAAUCUGAGAUUGUUUGAUGCAUAUUGUAUAAUCUUACCCACGGAUACUUGAGGUGACAUUGGAGUAUCUAGGUGACUUUAGGGUUUUGGUUGAUUUGUGUCUUAAGGUGUUAUUCUAGUACGAACUCUAGGGCUGUUUGUGAGACCUAUAGGAAUAUCCCAACGGAUUGAUUGGAAAGAAUAACUUUGAGGUGGUUUCGUACCCUACCAUAAUCUGUUCGUUUGUUCUCCUCUAUUAGUGAGUUUGGAGUGACUCUUUGUUGCAUGUUGAGGGAUAAUUAUGUGAUCCAAUUAUGUUAUUAUUGUUGAGAGGACUUGCACUAGUGUAAGUAUGAACCCUAGGCCUUGUUUCCUAGCAUUGCAAUACCGUUUACGCUCACUUUAUCAUUAGUUACCUUGCUGUUUUUAUAUUUUCAGAUUACAAAAACCUUUAUCUACCAUCCAUAUUCCACUUGUAUCACCAUCUCUUCGCCAAACUAGUGCACCUAUACAAUUUACCAUUGUAUUGGGUGUGUUGGGGACACAAGAGACUCUUUGUUAUUUGGUUGCAGGGUUGCUUGGGAGAGACCAUCUUCAUCCUAUGCCUCCUACGAAUGGAUAAACCUUAGGUCAUCCACUUGAGGGAAAUUUGCUACUGUCCUACAAACCUCUGUACUUGGAGGCCCAACAACGUCUACAAGAAGAAGGUUGUGUAGUAGACAUCAAGCUCUUUUCUGGCGCCGUUGCUAGGGAGGUGAGUGCUUGAAGGUAUAUCUUUAGAUCUUGCAAUCGAGUCUUUUAGUUUCUUGUUUUAUCACUAGUUUAGUUUAUAAAAGAAAAUUACAAAAAAUGGAAUUAAGUUUGCCUCAUACGCUUCAUCUUUUUUAUAUCUUUCGUGAGUAUGAUGGAAAGGAAAAUUGUGCCGAAGUGUUAGAAGAAGAAUGCAUUAAAAUGUUUGGCUCUAAAUCUUUGAAUGAUGAGCAUGAUUGCAAUGUUGUUAGUAUGAACUCCUUAAAUAUCCAUAGUACUAAUGAUGAUUGCACUAGUUAUGAUGAAAAUGUCUCCUAUAAACAUAUCAUUUUUUGUGGAGUGCAUUGGGUUUGCAAGUACACACCAAAUAGGGAAGAUAGAUAUUGCAAGAGGCAUAAGCAUUUAGAAACUAAAUUGUUUCAAGAAAGGCUAGAUGUUUGUGCUAAAGAUUUAAAUUUUCUUGGCCGUACUUGUGAACUUUGCAAUGAACGUGGUCAUUUAACCAUCCGAUGCAAAAUGUUUCAUGGUCUAAUCGUUUCCAAAAAUUGCGAUGACUUGAUUUCUCUUGCACAUCAUAAUGAACUUAGUUUGCUUAUGGGUUAUGAAGAAAUGAAACGUAUAACUAACUAUCUUCCAGUAUUUGCCCGUGAUAAACUUCUUAAUUUUGAUCUAGAAGAAAUUUGUAUGUAUUGUGCAGUGAAUUGCAUUGAAAAUCCUUAUAUUGCCAAUUACAUAAAGAAAAGAAAACAAAUAGAGGAUGAAGAGAAUCUAACUUAUAAAGGAUGAAGGGGUAGGUAGUCACAACGAAGGCCUUGAGCGCACGGUACCACGGGAGAGAAAAAAGACCACCGCACCGCGCCGCGCGUGGGGGUGCAGCGCACCACGCGAAGGAAAAAAAACACCGUAGCACGCGAGGUAGAAAACGGCACCCCAAUCCACAGCCCCGAGCCCCUCGCUCGUCCCUCCCUCCCUCGUCCUCACCCGCCGCCGCUCCCUAACCCUAGCCCCAAUCCACAGCCCCGCGCCCCUCGCUCCUCCCUCCCUCGUCCGCGCCCCUCGCUCCUCCCUCCUUCGUCCGCCGCCACUCCCUCCCACCUCCUCCUCCUGCGCCCUAGGAGCCCCGCCGCCGACUGCUACUCCUCCACCGCCUCGCCUCUUCCUCCUCCUCGCCUUCCCAUCGCUCACGCGCAGGUCGCCCGACGGCAGGGAUGGUCAGGAAGGCUUCCCAGCCCGACUGUGCCGUCAUGGGAGCUGCAGGGAGGAGGUGAGGAUGCGUCGCUCGCGGAUUGGAUCGAGGGUGCCCCGCCGCUGCCGCGAGUCAACUCCACCGUUGUUGCCAGGAUUUGGUGGUGUGUUCCCUACCGUUUCUCUUUUUCAGUUUCUAACUUCGAUGCUUUGAUUUGUUAUUUUGUCCAGCAGGAGGAGCAGAAGGGGCCACGGAUGAGGAGGAAGGAGACUAGCAGGAGGAGAAGGAGAUAUUCUUGUUCGAUUUGGUUCUCAUGCUGGCAUCUCCCUGCUGUCUGCUUUCCUUUUGGUUUCCAACUUUGAUGCUUGGAUUUGUUGUCUUGGCCAGCAGGAGUGGGAGGAGACAGGGAGGAUGAGGAAGGAGACAAGCAGGAGGAAGAGAAAAUCUUGCUCGCCUUAUGGACUCGCAAUAAACAGGUGUGUGUUGUUCUACUCAUGCCUUUUUUAACCUCACUAACGACGGUGUUGUACUGGAUCGAAUCAGAGGAAGCUCAUUUGCCUGUACAGAGGCUCGUCUUCUCCCCCCAUCCAAUACCUGCUAAGAGUUAUGAUUUUUCUUUGCUUCUAGGUCCACAGGAAAAAUUCCUGAACGAUUUUGGUAUCCCCGGAUUUUUCUUCCCCGCGAUGAGGUUAUACUUACCCUACCCUCUGUCCAUGUGUGUGUGUGUGUGUUGGUUUGUCAUGUUCUGUGGUCUGAAUUCAGUUUGGUUUUCUUGUUCUAAAUUCAUUGCAUGUCCAAUGAACACACAUACUCUCUGCAAGUUCAGUUUAAUCUAUUCCUUUAAAUAUUUGUACUGAUCCAUUUUUUAAUUGUUGAGGCAAAUAAUUUUAUUAAAUGCUUAUAAUUUGUUUGAGGACAGAUAGAACAUCUGUUUUCGUUAAGAUUGAUUAUCAAGUACGUCUCUUGUUUGCGAAUUUUAUAAUUUUUGUAUGGGGUGCAGUGACAAGGAUGAGGCAGAAUUAGUUCUCCUCGGAGAAUUGGGUUACCACAUCACUGGAUGUAGGCACAACCCAAGCAGUCCAGAAUGAUUGACUCAUCUAAAUUUCUCUAAUUCUCUUACAUGAUAUUUUCUCCAGACAGUGCGUGCAUUUACUGCACAAAAGUUAAUUUAUUUGAAUUUUAUGUUAAUGCUUUGACCAUGGAUGCCAAAACAUCACAGUUUGCCUGAUGGAGUGAAUUCCGUUAUAAAAUGAAGUUCCUUCCAUCAAAUAGAUAGCUUGUAUUAAAAUUGUUUUUCUAUCCUGUAGGUACAUGUUGGUUAUUUUGAUGCUUACUUUUGAAGAUUUGCAGAGAUCAGCGAGGAUUUGUGCUGCAGGGAGGGGACUGGUGAUAGGAAACAUGGGUCCAAGAAGAAAUCAAAGAGCAUGGUAAGUUGUUCUCCCUUUUCUAAUUUAAAAGCUAGAGUCGGUCAAUUGUUAUAUAGGACUAUGAUUAGGACAAAAUAAUCAUGACAUGCGAGCAAUUCUCGGUUUAAAUAGUGUGAGCUUAAAUAACAGGAGCUACCCAUUGUGCCAUUUUCAAAAUUGUUACUAGAAAAGAUAACUGAAUAGCAGGUCCUGUAGAGUUACUACCAUAAAGUUUAUUUCUAACUGCAUGAUCUGAACUGCACAUUCUGAAAGUAUAUUGGACACUUGCCCUUGGGAAAUUAGACUACCAUAGCAUUACUUUGUAAAUAAAUGCCAUGCUAAAAUGUUGGUUGUUAGUACAGAGAUGGUGACAUUAUUUGGUCCUCUGGUAUUGAUUCAUGAUUUGGGAUUAAUACGUAAUGUUGGUAUCUAAUCUCUUUAUUGCUCAUGCCUCACUUGAUAUUGCAUGGGGUACAGGCAAAAUGCCAUUGGAGUGGCAUACACCAUACUUCGGUACUACCUACACAUGAUUCCAUUUGAUUUCACUUUCAUUUUGUUUUUCUGCAGAUCGUUUCUAGGUCGCUGGUGCUGAAUCAUGUAAGGAUGGCGCAGAACUCACAUGAGGGAAAAGACCGAACUGCGGUAACCAAAUCAACAGCUGAUAAGGUACAAAUUUCGGAAGAUAUAUGGUCCUAAACAAGCAUAUACAUCAGAAUACAAAGGGGAGUUACGUCUCUGUUUUAUGUUAUGUUUCCUGCUUGCUAUCUUGUUUAUGGAUAUUACUGCUCUAUGUUGCUAUAAUUGUUUGUUGAAGCUAGAGUAUCUAUUGUUUUGCGGGUACUGAUCGGAGUUGGAUUCGGUAUUUAUGAACUUGGCUUUCAGUUUUGCUCCAUCGCCGGCUUAUUUGCCUUGCUUCUAUAUUCUUGGAAGAGUGAAUAAAACAUACAUGCAUGAUGAAAUACAGGUAGCUAGGUUCGUGGAAAUUGGUCUUCCAGAACUCAUCCUAAUUGUUUUGAAUGAGGUGAUGUUGUAGUAAUCAUAUUUGUUUCCUGGACAAUAUUUUCCUCAUGUGUUGCAUUCUGGAAAGGGUGUCUUUGGCCAGUUUUCUGUUCUUUCAUUGUUUCAAUUGUGUGACUCUACACAUGUAUCCUCACAAUUAGUGGCACCUACAAGAAUGCCAGGCCUACCUGUAGCUUUCCUUAUGUAGUUAAAUAAAACAACUCACGGUCUCACACUUUUCUUCUUUCCAAUAUAAUAAGGCUGUUAUUGCCUGUUAAUACUUGACAUUAGUUAUAGUUCCUCGAUUAUCUUAUGACUUUUUGAUAAACAUAAUUAUAUUUUAAUUUGCUCUAUUGUUUUCUUACUUUUUCUAUCAAGCUGCCAUAUAUGAUACAUGAAGAAGCAUUUACCUUAAGACAUUAAUAGAGUUUUCACGUAUAAUUUGUUCUUUUUUUGCUCCCUUAAAUUAGACGAUCAAGAAACCUGAUAAGCGUCACGUUGGUUCAGGCUUGGUGCUAGAUAGUUAGCUCCCAUUUAUCCUGGAGAAGUUCUGUAUUCUCAAAUCUAUAUGGUUAGUUGUACCUCUUCUUUGAUGUUGGCGCUACAGAUCCAUCUCGGUCAUUUAGGGAAACUGAAAUUUGCAUCUUCAACUCAUAGUUUGGCAGCUUGGAUUAUCUAUGAGAACAAUCCUACCUGGUUAUAUCCUUGACAAAAUUUCUUGAGAUUUAUUGAUAUUGUUCUUGGAUACUUAUAGAGUCAAACUCUGCAGGCAAUUGGUUGGGCUACAUGAUAGACACUUUAAUAUAUCUUCUUGGAAGCCGCUUAGUGUUCCAAUGAAUAAUUGUCGCUGGUGUGAUGCACGCCUUCAUUGUUUGGUGGGCUGCUUCUUGCCUGGUGUGGUUGAAGAAUUUUCAGAGGUAUGGUUCAUCUUGCGUGCGGCCUUUAGUUUGAGUUUCUGUUGACACAUUAAAUUUCCCUUUCCUGUAGACCCCUCCUUUUUCAUUUUAUUAGUUGGGUGUAAUAGGAAAUCAUCUAUAAUCAUUUUGUUUAACUACAAUCUGAUGCAAAAGAGUUCUGUUUACUUCUCAUAGUUCAUCUAUUAUAUGUUUGCUUUCAAAACAAAGAAAUCGGUUGUCCAAGUUCUGAUCAUGCUCUGAUUGAGAUUCAGUCCUCCUUGAUCUUUUUUUUCUGUAUGCUUGCAUCUCCUUGGUGUCCAAGUUCUGAUCAUGCUACAAUCUUGUUUCAAAUUUAUUCUAAUAGAUGUAUGUACCAUGAUGAUUGAGGAGGCGUAUGAAAUAAAUCUGAAGAAAUAAGUCGCCUCCAUCAGCGAGGCUGCGAACAACUCUUGGUGCCCCUGUUAACCUCCUCAAUGUUUGCGUUGUUUGCCUGUCGGUCAAAUGCUCACUAUUCAGCAGACAGGUAACUCUGUUUCUUAAAUCACUUUCUCUAUUCAUCGCCCUGUUGAUACAUGCUUAGGAAUCAGAUAAAUUGUACUCAUAUAAUUUAAUAUAUCUCAGAUACAGUGUCCAGAUCGUUUAGGAACCAGCGUUACUUCAAAAAAAGAUAGGACCUGAUACACAUUACAUUCAUGGACUACUGAUAUACCUGAUGCAUUUCUUCAUGAUGGUCGGUUUCCUUUCACCAGAUCUUACAUAUUUAAUUCUGUGUGCUUGGAACCCAAAACUGAUUGAGAUCUUCAGUUCUUACUUGCAGAUGUUCUGUUAUUCAGAAUAAUUCAGUUUCCAGUCUCUGUAUAUUAAUCAAAUUAUGGGUUACUUUCAACCUUAUAGCCUUUUAUUAUGUGUCCAGUUAUGCUUCCAUGGGUUUGCAUAUGUAUUAACAAUAAAAAACAGACUACUAUUCUGUUUAUACUUGAACCAAAGGGUGUACAAUUAAUUUGCUCUUACGAAAGGAAUGAGUAGUCAGCUAGCUGAAUGAGACGACAAUCAUGACAAGCGAACCAACACAUAUAGAGAAAUGUUAUUUUUGAGUUUAUUGUGAAAGAAGGAACAUAAGUUUUUGAAGUUCUAAAAUGUGUUUCAUGAAGAAACAAUUAUAACACUGUCACAAAUCACACAUAUAGAGAAAUGUUAUUUUCGAGUCUCCAUAACCUACUGGUCUUUUUUAGAUAUAUGAACUUGCAUUCGCUUUGUUAAUUCUUCUGCAAUGCAGGUGAUAUUCCUAAUCAUUUCUGCUGACGCUGAAAAAAUACUAUCAAGACCAUGUUCAUGCCAAAGGCGAUAUUCCUCAUUAUGUUCUCUUUGCAUGUUCUAUUGUAGGAAGCGGAUGCUAUCAAGAUCAUGCCAAAGGCGAUGCUCAUUCCCGUUCUUAGUGAGAUGGGUUUACUCGAUGCAAAGUAUGAGCAUUGCAGACUCUGGCGAGCUGCUGAAGGUCGACGAGGAGGGCGCCGCCGCCACCGUCAUCAGGCUGGUCCACAUACACGCGUUGCUCGGCGUCACCAGGUCACCGGCACAACUCCGCACGCCCAGGCCGUUCAACAUUUUCUUCCGCUUUUGGUGCGUCACAUUUAGAAUCUUUCUUUCCCAUUUUACCGUGUUUGCAUGGUAAGAUGUUCUGUUAGAUUUUAAGGUUCAUAGCCUUGGCUCCAAAGCUUCAAGCUCUUGCAUAAUAGUGUUGUUCAGUGGGAUGCAGAAUUUUUGUUUGUCUGAUCGGCUAUGGCUAUCUUUGGUGCUGAUUUACUACAAUAAAGAUGUUGUGUGUAUAAAUAUUACUAACUGUUGAUACUUUGCAUCAGUGAUUUCAUUUCUGUUGGCCCUCCUUAAGAUUGCUUGGGAAUGUGAGGCUUAAAAGUUUCAACCCUGUGCAAUGUGCUUCUGGGUGUGGAUUUGUGGCUGACUAAUUAACGGUUCUGUUAAUACUAAUAUGUGUUGCAUCGCUUGUACUUAUAGUAAGUAGAAAUUUUUCUCAUAUGUUUCAAUAUGUGCCCGAAUAAUAUUAAUGUACACUCUUUCAAUACAUGGCUUACUCUUGGCCUUUGCGCCAUUGGCGCAACUGGUCAUCUAGUACUAAUGAAAGGGAAGAGACUUCCCAAUAUCCUCCUAUUAUUUCUUAUGAUGAAUCAGGUAACGAGGAGGAGCCUUCUAUUCAACCAAUCUCAUUAAUAAGGAGCUCCAAAAAGAGGAUUGAACCCACACAUGAUGUGGUGAAGAAGAAGAAAAGAAAAAGGAAGAGAGUUUAAAAGAUAUCUCUCCCAAAUAAUGAUGCUCCUAUUACUGUUGCGCCUCAUGAAAAUAUAAUUGUGGAAGAUGAUGCACUUGAUGAUGAUCUCGUUAUGCCUAUUGCUUGUUAUGGUGAUUAUGAUUGGGAAGAUAAUGAUAAUUCUUAUGAUCUUGAAAAUCUUUUUGGCACUUGCUUGGAAGAAUAUGAUAAUUGCUAUACUAUUGGUGCUAUCCAUACUAUUGAUGAUGAGAGUGAUUAUGCUUAUGAUAUGAAAAGGCCCAAGCUUGGGGAUGCUAUGUUUGAAGAAGAUGAUGCUUUUGAGAAUAUAUUUGCUGCAAUUAAUGUUUGUCCCAAGCUUGGGGAUGCUACGUUUAAUGAAGAUGAUAUUUUUAGUCUCCCAAGUUUUGAUAAGCAAAUUCAUAAUGAUGAUAGCAUGCCACCUACACAUUGAUGAAAGUGUAUUUGGAGAGGUCAUGACUUUAUUUAGUAAUGAUUCCACUAUCUUGGAAGAGGUUUCAAUUGAUUAUGAUGAGAACAAAGUUGCUACUUAUGAUAAUUAUUGUGAUGAUACAUAUGCUAUAAAAAGUAGUGAUGAUUAUAUUUAUAAAACUUGUCAUGAUUAUGAUUACCCUUUUUCUGAACAUUACUCUUUUAAUGUGGAAACAAUUUAUAGUAUUCGAGUCUCUUAUGAUACUCCCACUAUUUUGAAGGAAAAGAAUCUUGCUUAUGUGGAGAGUAGUAAAUUUUCUAUGCUUGUAGAUCAUGAAAAGAAUGCUUUAGGUGCUGGUUAUAUUGUUGAAUUCAUUCAUGAUGCUACUGAAAAUUAUUAUGAGGGAGGAAUAUAUGAUUGUAGGAAUUGCAAUAAUAUCAAGUUUCCUCUCUAUGUGCUUAAAGUUUCAAAGUUAUGCUUGUUUUGCCUUCCUAUGCUAGUUGAUUAUUGUUCCCAUAAGUUGUUUGGUAACAAAAUCCCUAUGCAUAGGAAGUGGGUUAGACUUAAAUGUGUUAGUCAUAUUCUUCAUGAUGCUCUCUUUAUGUUUCAAUUCUUAUCCUUUAUGUGAGCAUCAUUGAAAUCAUCAUGCCUAGCUAGGGGCGUUAAACGAUAGCGCUUGUUGGGAGACAACCCAAUUUUAUUUUUGUCCCUUGCUUUUUGAUCCUUUUUAGUAAUAAAUAAUUUAUCUAUACUCUGUUAUGAUUUAGUUUUUAUGUUUUAAUUAGUGUUUGUGCCAAGUAGAACCGUUGGGAAGACUUGGGGAAAUUCUUUUUGAUCUUGCUUUUAAAAAACAGAAACUUUAGCGCUCACGAGAACUGCUGCCAUUUUUAUUUGGAAAGUGAUGGUUAGGUAAUUCUUUUUGAAGAUGAUUAAUAGAUAAAUUCCUCACGUCCAGAAAUUUAUUUGAGAAUUUUAUGAGUUCCAUAAGUAUACGUUCGAUCCAGAUUACUACAGACUGUUCUGUUUUUGACAGAUUCUGUUUUUCCUGUGUUGUUUGCUUAUUUUAAUGAAUCUAUGGCUAGUAAAAGAGUUUAUAACCCAUAGAGAAGUUGGAAUACAGUAGGUUUAACACCAAUAUAAAUAAAUAAUGAGUUCAUUACAGUACCUUUAAGUGGUGUUUUGUUUUCUUUCGCUAACGGAGCUUACGAGUUUUCUGUUAAGUUUUGUGCUGUGAAGUUUUCAAGUUUUGGGUAAAGAUUCAAUGGACUAUGGAAUAAGGAGUGGCAAGAGCCUAAGCUUGGGGAUGCCCAAGGAACAUAAAGGUAAUAUUCAAGGAUAACCAAGAUCCUAAGCUUGGGGAUGCCCCGGAAGGCAAACCCUCUUUCGUCUUCGUCCAUCGGUAACUUUACUUGGAGCUAUAUUUUUAUUUACCACAUGAUAUGUGUUUUGCUUGGAGCGUCAUUUUAUUUUUUUAGUUUUUCUUGAUGUUUGAAUAAAAUACCAAGAUCUGAAAUUAUUAAAUGUUAGAGAGUCUUCACAUAGUUGCAUAAUUAUUCGACUACUCAUUGAUCUUCACUUAUAUCUUUCAGAGUAGUUUAUCAUUUGCUCUAGUGCUUCACUUAUAUCCUUUUAGAGCACGGUGGUGGUUUUAUUUUAUAGAAAUAGAUGAACUAUCAUGCAUCACUUAUAUUAUUUUGAGAGUCCUAAACAACAUGGUAGUUUUCUUUGGUUAUGAAUUUAUUCCUAAUAUGAUGGGCAUCCAAGAGGGAUAUAAUAAAAACUAUCAUAUAAAGUGCAUUGAAUACUAUGACAAGUUUGAUACUUGAUAAUUGUUUUGAGAUAUGGAGAUGGUGAUAUUAGAGUCAUGCUAGUUGAGUAGUUGUGAAUUUUAGAAAUACUUGUGUUGAAGUUUGUGAUUCCCGUAGCAUGCACGUAUGGUGAACCGUUUUGUGACGAAGUCGGAGCAUGAUUUAUUUAUUGAUUGUCUUCCUUAUGAGUGGCGGUCGGGGACGAGCGAUGGUCUUUUCCUACCAAUCUAUCCCCCUAGGAGCAUGCGCGUAGUACUUUGUUUCUAUAACUAAUAGGUUUUUGCAAUAAGUAUGUGAGUUCUUUAUGACUAAUGUUGAGUCCAUGGAUUAUACGCACUCUCACCCUUCCACCAUUGCUAGCCUCUCUAGUACCGCACAACUUUCGCCGGUACCUUAAACCCACCAUAUACCUUCCUCAAAACAGCCACCAUACCUACCUAUUAUGGCAUUUCCAUAUCCAUUCCAAGAUAUAUUGCCAUGCAACUUUCCACCGUUCUGACACGCUUCAUCAUUGUCAUAUUGCUAUGCAUGAUCAUGUAGUUGAUAUCGUAUUUGUGGCAAAGCCACCGUUCAUAAUUCUUUCAUACAUGUAACUCAUGAGUCAUUGCACAUCCCGGUACACCGCCGAAUGCAUUCAUAUAGAGUCAUAUCUUGUUCUAAGUAUUGAGUUGUAAUUCUUGAGUUGUAAGUAAAUAAAAGUGUGAUGAUCAUCAUUAUUAGAGCAUUGUCCCAGUGAGGAAUGGAUGAUGGAGACUAUGAUUCCCCCAUAAGUCGGGAUGAGACUCCGGACAAAAAAAAUAAAUAAAUAAAAGAGGCCAAAGAAGCCCAAAUAAAAAAUAGGCCAUAAAAAAAGAGAAAAGGCCCAAAUAAAAAAUGAGAGAAAAAGAGACAAGGGACAAUGCUACUAUCCUUUUACCACACUUGUGCUUCAAAGUAGCACCAUGAUAUUCAUGGUAGAGAGUCUCCUAUGUUGUCACUUCCAUAUACUAGUGGGAAUCUUUCAUUAUAGAACUUGGCUUGUAUAUUCCAAUGAUGGGCUUCCUCAAAAUGCCCUAGGUCUUCGUGAGCAAGCGAGUUGGAUGCACCCCACUUAGUUUCUUUUUGAGCUGUCAUACACUUAUAGCUCUAGUGCAUCCGUUGCAUGGCAAUCCCUACUCACUCACAUUGAUAUCUAUUCAUGGGCAUCUCCAUAGCCCGUUGAUAUGCCUAGGUGAUGUGAGACUAUCUUCUCCUUUUUGUGUUCUCCAUAACCACCAUUCUAUUCCACCUAUAGUGCUAUGUCCAUGGCUCAAGCUCAUGUAUUGCGUGAAGAUUGAAAAAGUUUGAGAACACCAAAAGUAUGAAACAAUUGCUUGGCUUGUCAUCGGGGUUGUGCAUGAUUUAAAUAUUUUGUGUGGUGAAGAUGGAGCUUAGCCAGACUAUAUGAUUUUGUAUUGAUAACUUUCUUUGGCCAUGUUAUUUUGAGAAGACAUGAUUACUUUGUUAUUAUGCUUGAAGUAUUAUUAUUUUUAUGUCAAUAUUAAACUUUUGUCUUGAAUCUUAUGGAUCUGAAUAUGCUUGCCACAAUAAAGAAAAUUACAUGGAUAAAUAUGUUAGGUAGCAUUCCACAUCAAAAAUUCUGUUUUUUAUCGUUUACCUACUCGAGGAUGAGCAGGAAUUAAGCUUGGGGAUGCUGAUACGUCUCCAACGUAUCUAUAAUUUUUGAUUGUUCCAUGCUAUUAUAUUAUCAACCUUGGAUGUUUUAUAUGCAUUUAUAUGCUAUUUUAUAUGAUUUUUGGGACUAACCUAUUAACCUAGAGCCCAGUGCCAGUUUCUGUUUUUUCCUUGUUUUAGAGUAUCGCAGAAAAGGAAAAUCAAACGGAGUCCAAUUGACCUGAAACUUCUCGGAACUUAUUUUUGGACCAGAAGCAACUGAGAAGACUUGGGGUGUUCGUAAGGGAAGCAACGAGGAAGGCACGAGGCAGGGGGGCGCGCCCACCCCCCUGGGCACGGCCUCCACCCUCGUGGGCCCCUCGUGGCCCCCCUGACGUAUUUCUUCCUCCUAUAUAUAUAUCCAUAUACCCUAAAAACUUCGAGGAGCACAAUAGAUCGGAAGUUCCGCCGCCAGAAGCCUCUGUAGCCACUGAAAGCCAAUCUAGACCCGUUCCGGCACCCUACCGGAGGGGGAAUCCCUCUCCGGUGGCCAUCUUCAUCAUCUCGGUGCUCUCCAUGACAAGGAGGAAGUAGUUAUCCCUCGGGGCUGAGGGUAUGUACCAGUAGCUAUGUGUUUGAUCUCUCUCUCUCUCAUGUUCUUGAGGUGGUACGAUCUUGA
rnacentral:lncRNA from 1 species